CCUGUCACUAAGGUGUGAUAUCUCUCCUAUUGUCUACUGUAUUGUCCCCUGUCACUAAGGUGUGAUAUCUCUCCUAUUGUCUACUGUAUUGUCCCUGUCACUAAGGUGUGAUAUCUCUCCUAUUGUCUACUGUAUUGUCCCCUGUCACUAAGGUGUGAUAUCUCUCCUAUUGUCUACUGUAUUGUCCCUGUCACUAAGGUGUGAUAUCUCUCCUAUUGUCUACUGUAUUGUCACUAAGGUGUGAUAUCUCUCCUAUUGUCUACUGUAUUGUCCCUGUCACUAAGGUGUGAUAUCUCUCCUAUUGUCUACUGUAUUGUCCCUGUCACUAAGGUGUGAUAUCUCUCCUAUAGUCUACUGUAUUGUCCCCUGUCACUAAGGUGUGAUAUCUCUCCUAUUGUCUACUGUAUUGUCCCCUGUCACUAAGGUGUGAUAUCUCUCCUAUUGUCUACUGUAUUGUCACUAAGGUGUGAUAUCUCUCCUAUUGUCUACUGUAUUGUCCCUGUCACUAAGGUGUGAUAUCUCUCCUAUUGUCUACUGUAUUGUCCCUGUCACUAAGGUGUGAUAUCUCUCCUAUUGUCUACUGUAUUG